rnacentral:rRNA from 1 species
UACGAACUGUGCGAACGUUAUUCGGAAUCACUGGGCUUACAGGGUGCGUAGGCGGCUUAGCAAGUCAGGUGUGAAAGCCCCCCGGCUCAACCGGGGGAACUGCGCUUGAAACUGCUGAGCUCGAGUCAGCUAGAGGUACACGGAACUUCCAGUGGAGCGGUGAAAUGUGUUGAUAUUGGAAGGAACACCGGAGGCGAAAGCGGUGUACUGGGGCUGGUCUGACGCUGAGGCACGAAAGCCAGGGGAGCGAACGGG